AGCGAACGCUGGCGGCAGGCUUAACACAUGCAAGUCGAACGGGCACUUCGGUGCUAGUGGCAGACGGGUGAGUAACACGUGGGAACGUACCUUUCGGUUCGGAAUAAUUCAGGGAAACUUGGACUAAUACCGGCUACGCCCUUCGGGGGAAAGAUUUAUCGCCGAAAGAUCGGCCCGCGUCUGAUUAGCUAGUUGGUGAGGUAAAGGCUCACCAAGGCGACGAUCAGUAGCUGGUCUGAGAGGAUGAUCAGCCACAUUGGGACUGAGACACGGCCCAAACUCCUACGGGAGGCAGCAGUGGGGAAUAUUGGACAAUGGGCGCAAGCCUGAUCCAGCCAUGCCGCGUGAGUGAUGAAGGCCUUAGGGUUGUAAAGCUCUUUUGUCCGGGAAGAUAAUGACUGUACCGGAAGAAUAAGCCCCGGCUAACUUCGUGCCAGCCGCCGCCGUAACAC
rnacentral:rRNA from 1 species